rnacentral:rRNA from 1 species
AUGUUGAUGAGCUAUGGGGUUUCAGAGCAGACAAAGUGGAUGAUGCCACAAUCCUACCUGACAGGAAUCAAGGUGAUUGGAUGUUCAUCUUAUUCUUUCUAUGUUAAUUUUGAUCACAUUUCUAUUAACUUUUGUUCUGUAGCUAAUCCACCUUCCGCGCUGCCUACUGUUGCCACCUGCAUGGAUGAUCUUGACAACCAUGCUUCAGUUCAUGGUGGAUCAUCUGGUGACGCCAAUGUUAGUAAGGAGGUACCUGCAAAUCUCAAGCAUUUACCUCCGUCGGGACAAUUCUGCCAGACUGUUGAGACAUUGGAGACAGGAGGUACUACUAUUUACCCAGUGUUAUCUGAAAGUGUUGAAUUUGAUGUCCAGUUAGUUGCAACGAGAUCUGUAUAG